ACAAUAUAAUUAAUUCUGUCUUCUCAUAGGAAACAAUGGAGGCCAGAAGGCAAUGGAAUCACUUAUUCAAACUGCUAAAAGAAGACUACCAAACAAUAAUUAUACAUCCAGUAAAACUAUCCAUCAGGAAUGAAGGAGAAAUGAAAACAUUCCUAGUUUUACCUCUCUGUGGAGUCGGGAUAGUACAGCAGGCCACCACCCAGACCUUCCACUCACUGUCUCAAACUCCUCAUCUGAAGAUGUGAACAGAGAUCGCCAUUUCACAAGGUUCUCAUGGGAACCGCCACCCACUAAGCCUGGUGACAGGAGCAGCUUCAUGGGCCUGCGAGCAGUGCAGUCUCUCCGGGUUUUACAGUUAAUGCUCUGUGGUUGCAGUCU